rnacentral:rRNA from 1 species
AUUGAACGCUGGCGGAAUGCUUUACACAUGCAAGUCGAACGGCAGCACGGGGGCAACCCUGGUGGCGAGUGGCGAACGGGUGAGUAAUACAUCGGAACGUGCCCGGUCGUGGGGGAUAACGUAGCGAAAGUUACGCUAAUACCGCAUACGAUCUGAGGAUGAAAGCGGGGGACCUUCGGGCCUCGCGCGAUCGGAGCGGCCGAUGUCAGAUUAGGUAGUCGGUGGGGUAAAGGCCUACCAAGCCGACGAUCUGUAGCUGGUCUGAGAGGACGACCAGCCACACUGGGACUGAGACACGGCCCAGACUCCUACGGGAGGCAGCAGUGGGGAAUUUUGGACAAAGGGCGCAAGCCUGAUCCAGCCAUUCCGCGUGCAGGACGAAGGCCUUCGGGUUGUAAACUGCUUUUGUAUGGAACGAAAAGGCUCUGGCUAAUACCUGGGGCUCAUGACGGUACCGUAAGAAUAAGCACCGGCUAACUACGUG